rnacentral:rRNA from 1 species
UACGGAGGGUGCGAGCGUUGUCCGGAAUCACUGGGCGUAAAGGGCGCGUAGGCGGCCUGAUAAGUAGGGGGUGAAAUCCUGCGGCUUAACCGCAGGGCUGCCUUCUAAACUGUCAGGCUUGAGCACAGUAGAGGCAGGUGGAAUUCCCGGUGUAGCGGUGGAAUGCGUAGAGAUCGGGAGGAACACCGGUGGCGAAGGCGGGUCUCUGGGCCGAUACUGACGCUGAGGAGCGAAAGCGUGGGGAGCGAACAGG